rnacentral:rRNA from 1 species
GACGAACGCUGGCGGCGUGCUUAACUCAUGCAAGUCGAACGGUAAGGCCCUUCGGGGUACACGAGUGGCGAACGGGUGAGUAACACGUGGGUGAUCUGCCCUGCACUUCGGGAUAAGCCUGGGAAACUGGGUCUAAUACCGGAUACGACCCUCGGAGGCAUCUCCUGGGGGUGGAAAGAAUUUCGGUCAAGGAUGGACUCGCGGCCUAUCAGCUAGUUGGUGAGGUAAAGGCUCACCAAGGCGACGACGGGUAGCCGGCCUGAGAGGGUGACCGGCCACACUGGGACUGAGACACGGCCCAGACUCCUACGGGAGGCAGCAGUGGGGAAUAUUGCACAAUGGGCGCAAGCCUGAUGCAGCAACGCCGCGUGAGGGAUGACGGCCUUCGGGUUGUAAACCUCUUUUAGCAGGGAAGAAGCGAAAGUGACGGUACCUGCAGAAAAAGCACUGGCUAACUACGUGCCAGCCGCCGCCGUAA